rnacentral:rRNA from 1 species
GAUGAACGCUAGCUACAGGCUUAACACAUGCAAGUCGAGGGGCAGCAUGGUCUUAGCUUGCUAAGGCCGAUGGCGACCGGCGCACGGGUGAGUAACACGUAUCCAACCUGCCGUCUACUCUUGGACAGCCUUCUGAAAGGAAGAUUAAUACAAGAUGGCAUCAUGAGUCCGCAUGUUCACAUGAUUAAAGGUAUUCCGGUAGACGAUGGGGAUGCGUUCCAUUAGAUAGUAGGCGGGGUAACGGCCCACCUAGUCUUCGAUGGAUAGGGGUUCUGAGAGGAAGGUCCCCCACAUUGGAACUGAGACACGGUCCAAACUCCUACGGGAGGCAGCAGUGAGGAAUAUUGGUCAAUGGGCGAGAGCCUGAACCAGCCAAGUAGCGUGAAGGAUGACUGCCCUAUGGGUUGUAAACUUCUUUUAUAAAGGAAUAAAGUCGGGUAUGGAGACCCGUUUGCAUGUACUUUAGGAAUAAGGAUCGGCUAACUCCGU